GACGAAGGUGGCAAGCGUUGUUCGGAAUCACUGGGCAUAAAGCGCGCGUAGGCGGCUGUGUAAGUCAGGUGUGAAAGCCCUCGGCUCAACCGAGGAACUGCGCCUGAUACUGCACGGCUUGAGGUCCGGAGGGGAGAGUGGAAUUCCCGGUGGAGCGGUGAAAUGCGUAGAGAUCGGGAAGAACGCCGGCGGCGAAAGCGACUCUCUGGUCGGAAUCUGACGCUGAGGCGCGAAAGCUAGGGGAGCAAACGGG
rnacentral:rRNA from 1 species